CUGUGGGAAGCAUUGGAGUCAACAUGAGCCAGCAGGCCAGCAUCCCUGUGGAAUGUUUUGGACACCUUGUAGAGUCRAUGCCCAGACGAAUUGAGUCUGUGCUAAGGGCAAAAGGGGUUGCAACUCAAUAUUAGGAUGGUGUUCCUAAUGUUUUAUACACUCAGUGUAUAUGCGCUCCAAAAUAGCACUGAAAAUGUAACUUUGUAUAAUCCUUGUAAUAAUAACAGUGAUAGCUAMUAUUUCUCAGAUGUCGSCUACAUURUCUGCCUUCCAUUCCCCAGCUGGUAGGUUAUGUUUGCGUCCCAAAUGGCACCUUAUUCUAUAUUUAGUGCACUCCUUUUUUGUGUUUUUUGGUAUUUUAUUAGGAUCCCCUUUUAGCUGUUGCCAACCUGGAGCCAGUCUUCCAGCGGCUACUCUUCCUCUUUAGACCAGGGCUCUGCCUUCCAUUCCCCAGCUGGUAGAUUCUGUUUGCGUCCAAGGGCUCUGGUGUGAAGUGGAAGGACUAUAUAGGGAAUAGGAUGUCAGUUGGGGUGAAGGUGUUAGGAAGGCAGGCUGUUAUGGUAUUGUGAUUAAUGAAUGCUGUCUAAGGAGUGAUGAUGUGAUAUGUCCCAGUUACCAGGAAGUGAUGUGUUAUUUUUCUGUCUCUCUAUAAUCCUGMGUCUGUGACAAGGGAAGGAAACCAAAGCUCUGAAUGAAUGUAUUCUAGAAACAUGUAAGCGCCACCAACAAUGAGGUAGUCCUGCAAAAACGUAAGAGUAGCAAGCUUUCAGAAACCCAUCAGAAAUAAAAGUAUCAUAUUCAGAGAAAUGUACACAUUUUUAUUUACGUACGAGAGUACAAUUAGAGUAAAAUGGUUCCCAGGAGUAGAAUGUUUUAUGAAGGUCUAUCUAUCAAAUGAUUAGGACACACUAGACAUUUUUCCCUGACUCAUAGUUUGUCAUUUGAAUGAGGCUCUUUUAGUUAAGUCUACUCCAGUAUUUGUCUCAGGUAGCCAGUCUAAAGAGCAGGGAUGGAAAUUAAUCUAGGCCAAUAGUAAAAAUUGUUCUACUAGACCAGCUGGCUAGUACCCAAAAUCCUUAAGUUUCAUGCCUGCUAAAGAAGGACCCUUUUCACAAUGUUCUGUAAUUGUUUUGUUUAUCAACUARAAGAGUCCGUUGUUUUCCUCUUCAUCUUUGAACAUCAUUGUAAACAGGGGACUUCAGAUCAUUUUACUAUGUACAGUAACAUUUGAUAAAUUCACAAAAACAAUAUA